CCGGUGCCUUGCGAGGUAAACGGCGGUGUUAAACCUUAAAGUAGCGUGAUAAGUCGGCCUUUAAUUGGGGUCUGGUAUGAAGGGGUUGACGUCGGAAAAGCUGUCUCAGAAAAACUAAGUGAAAUUUACUUUUAAGUGAAAAGGCUUAAAUGGGGGUAAAAGACGAGAAGGCCCUGUCGAGCUUGAGGGAUUUGAAUGUUUAGUAACAUGAUUAGGAGUUUGGCUGGGGCAGCAAUGGAGAUAACCUCCGUUUUUAAAACAAAGAUCCAUUAUGUUGAAAAUAAUGAAAAGAGGAAAAAGUUACCGCAGGGAUAACAGCACAAGACCGCCUCAGAGGUCGUAUCGAAGGCGGUAAGUGUGACCUCGAUGUUGGAUUAGGGUGAACCUCUUUGUGCAGGAGCAAAGCAGG
rnacentral:rRNA from 1 species